rnacentral:tRNA from 1 species
CUGGGGUUGCGGCUCAGCGGUAGAGCACUCACCCAGCAAGUGUGAGGUGCUGGUUCGAUCCUCAGCACCACAUA